rnacentral:rRNA from 1 species
GUCGACGAGAAGUACCUUCGGGUGCGAGUACAGUGGCGGACGGGUGAGUAACGCGUAGGAAUAUACCUGGUAGUGGGGGACAACUCGGGGAAACUCGAGCUAAUACCGCAUACGCUCUACGGAGGAAAGUGGGGGAUCUUCGGACCUCACGCUAUCAGAGUAGCCUGCGUUGGAUUAGCUAGUUGGUGGGGUAAAGGCUCACCAAGGCGACGAUCCAUAGCUGGUCUGAGAGGACGAUCAGCCACACUGGAACUGAGACACGGUCCAGACUCCUACGGGAGGCAGCAGUAGGGAAUAUUGGGCAAUGGGCGAAAGCCUGACCCAGCGAUGCCGCGUGUGUGAAGAAGGCCUUAGGGUUGUAAAGCACUUUCAGCAGUGAAGAAAUGUCGGAGGUUAAUAACUUCCGGCUUUGACGUUAACUGCAGAAGAAGUACCGGCUAACUCCGUG